UCCACUGUCUGUUUCCUAAAGACCACACACACACACACACAAGACCAGACACACACGAUCCAGGGGAAGCCCUUCUUGAGUACUGUUGUCUAUAAAUAGGCCAACCAACUGUCAGUGGAAGCACUACAUGCUGACUCAAUUUCCCUACAGGAUCUCUUUCAGGCACCUCCAAUAGACGUUGAUAUGGCAAGCAAAAAGAACAAGUUUGCUAGUGCUGUGAUAAGAUAGUGUAAAAUAAUGAGUUUGAAAUAUUUAUAUGCACUGCAUGUUUCUUUGGUAACUAGCCAGUCACGCUUACAAAAAUGUAUUUGUUGCGGCAAUCUUCCUGCAAACUAAAUAGUUUGCAAAUGUUUGACACUGGUGGAUAAUCUGCAGCAAACCUUUGGCAACAAUAAUAUUUAUUGCAACUAGUGGCAAAUAGUUUACCAGAAGCCAUUUCUGGUGAACACAUGAGUUCCAAGACCAGUAACCGUUGACGACCAGUCAGCAGGGGGAGAAGAAGAAUCCGUUGGAAAAUGGAAACCAAACUAUCUAGCUGGCUUCCUACCGAAGUUGUCCGGCCCCACCUAACCUGAAGUCAGUGCUGCUGGCUGUAGCCUUUGGCAACGUCAUUGUGCUGAUCGUAACCAAGGGGGCGGGUCUGAAUCAGUAGGUCGUUUGGGGGGAUGCAGACGGCUCUGAUCUCCUUGGAGCUAGAAAGGUCAGUCCCGGAGCUGGACAGGUCAUCCUCCAUGGAGCUAGACAUCACCUUCUCCCUCCCCAAACUAAUUGCUAAACACGCCCCCAGAACUAAAGUUAAUUAAAGGAACUGGAACUUACCUUCAGCGGGAUUUGGACUGGGGACAUCUCAACCAACGGACGUCUACCUCGUUACUGCUGUGCGGUGCUUCUCUACGCUGUUCGCCUGUUGACACGGGGACAUGCCCGACGCAACUGCGAGAGGCUUCACCCAACACUGAAACCCAGCAGGCCCGGCACAACGCGAGACCACCAAGCAACCAGCCACAGACAACCGUGCCAGGCUACCAAGAGCUCAACUCAUACAACGCUCUCUAUAGCACUAUUUUUCUCCAGCAUGUGAGUGCAACUCCAAUUGUUGGCCAGUACAUGCUCUAAUUGUAAGUUUUGUGUGCCCCGAGGCUACAGACACAGGGGACACAUUCGACGAGGCUACAGACACCGGGGACUCAUCCGACGAGGCUACAGACACCGGGGACUCAUCCGACGAGGCUACAGACACCGGGGACUCAUCCGACGAGGCUGAGAGGCCUCGUAUUCAUGGAUGCCAAGGGAAGACAGGAUUUUUUUAAAAUAUAACUUUAGUAUCAAUAUUUCAUCAUUUUCUUUCAAGUCAUAAUUUUUAUUUUACCUUUAUUUAACUAGGCAAGUCAGUUAAGAACAAAUUCCUAUUUUCAAUGACGGCCUAGGAACAGUGGGUUAACUGCCUGUUCAGGGGCAGAACGACAUAUUUGUACCAUGUCAGCUCGGGGGGUCGAACGUUCUAACCACUAGGCUACCCUGCCGCCCCAAGAGGCUGAAUGUAUCUCACCAGAGAAAGUACCUGAGCGAGCACCCACCGUCCCUAUGUGUUGACCAUCUAUCUGAUUCUCUCUGGUCAAAAAUGGUAUGAUUAUUGUUGACGCCUGUAGCAUUGAAUGCAAGGGAAGCCAGCAAGGAUUUGGCCUCCCUUGAUUAAAACAUUAUAUAAUAAUAGCCAAUCAGCUUCGAAUUAAACUGAGUGAGCUCAACUGUGAAUGGUCCUGGCGAACCAAAACAAAGUGUCAAGGGAGGCCAGUUUGGAUUUGGCUUCACACCCAUCACAUCAAGGUGAAUGUCUUUGACAGAAAAAAAAAAAAUUACUACAUUACUAUGAAAACCAAACACUGGAUUUACAGAGGUUUAAAUGGAAACGUAAAAUCAAAUUAACUGAGCCAUCUUUUGACCAAUCCCUAAACUUUUCUCAAACUAAGUUAAGACAUGUACCAUGGAUAUACAUUCCAUAUUUGGUUCUAUGGUUCAUGAGAAGAUUUUUGAAGUAUUUUUAGCAUUUAGUGUGGCUAUAUUUGAAUGCAUAAAUGUUGUUUUCUCAAACUCUUUAGGGACUAUUGUGAUUAGUCCAAGGACCACAUUUGGAGUGAAUUUGACUUUUAGUCCAUGAGAAUAACAUUUUGUAUGAUUUGAUUUUAAUUACUAGCAUUACAUAGUCAAAAGUGAAUUGUUAAUGGUUUUCUUAAUUGCUUAAGAUAUCAAUGUUCAUCAUAGUAAUGGUUUUGUUUCCAUUAUGGCCAUUGUGGAGUGGAUUUACAAAGGAUCUAAAUGGACAAGUAAAAUCUGAUGUAUCAAUUACUCAGCCGUCUCUUAACCAAUCCCUUAGCUUUUCUCAAACUAAGUUAAUGGUUUGGGUGUUAUUUGGACUUAUGGUUCAUGAGAGGUUUUUCAAAUGUUUUCAGAAAUUUCCAAGAUAGAGGGAAAUCUAUCCUGACAAACCUUGUGGGUCCCUGAGGCAAAUGUUUUCAGCACGAGGAAAGAAAUAUUAAUACAAAGUUUCAAGUCUCUUGGUCAAAUGGAGAGAAGAAUAUGAGGGUUUACGUGAGGCUGCUUAUAACAGAGCCACCUAUAGGCCAAUCAGUGCCAUUAUUAUUGACCAAGCUACUCAUGGCCUCUAGUUUUUGUGUGCCAAAUUAGAAUAAACAGUUAGCAAU